AGCAGGAGAAAUGACACCAAGAUAGCUGCCGGGGUCCUGAGGAACAUGCGAGUGAAGCAGAUGGGAAAGGAGCUUCAGGUUCAUCCUCAUCCUUGAGGGAAAACCUGAGGGCCCAGCCAAGGUCCCGCAAGUUGAAGCGAGCCUCUCUGCAGGGCGAACCCGCACCCAGUGCCACCCAGGAAGCCACCAGUCAGGCGCGAGCACAGAGUCUCUGGAAGGAACUCCAGGAGACAGUGUGGCCUCCACAGUGUGUGGCAGCCUGGGAGAUGCAAACACGUUUGCUGUAGAUGCUGGCGAUGAGACCCCCUCUGCCCAGCCAGGGCCUGCUGAGUAAGAGUGGCAUUUCCAUGGGUGACUUUAUCCCUCAGGAUCUGAGGCAUGCACAUUUAUUGGCUGGCUUCCUUCUUACAGUUUCUCCUCAGCACACACUCAAGAGAGGCCAUCUGUCCCUUGAGAGGCUGUUGACGGAAAGAGGCUGAAGAGAGAUGUGGAGCCCAGCUACAGCGGGACCAGCCCUGGGCCUGAUGAGAGCUUGGCCCAGAGCCCCCACAUUCAUCAUUCACAAUGAUGCCUCAGAAACCCUCCCAGAGCCCCUCCACCCUCCAACAGAUGUCACCCCCGAGCCAGCCGCAGAAGAUGUGCAGGGCGAACACAGCGACACCGGCCCCACGUCCCUCAGCAGGGUCAUCCUGUCAGCACUGGGGGCCCAAGAACUCCUCGACUCGCUGUCUCCUACUACUUCUGCUCCCGGGGGAACCGGAGCACGGGUGCCGCCUGCGGGAGCAGGUGGAGAAGGAUAGCGAGCUGAAGAGGGGCAGCUGCCGACAGCCAGGUGCACACGCUGCAGGAGGAUAUGGACGAGCUGAAUGAAGGGGGCUCCCUAACUGAGGAGCAUGCUGCCCCCCACUGAGUUUGGUGGCAGCAGUGGGAUCCAAAGGAGACGCCUGAUGGCUUUGAGGAUGAGAAACACAGUCAUUGGUACCCUCAAAACCUUUGAGUUCUCCAUCUUUUUCGCUGUUUCUGAGGGCUGUGGCGCCAGCUACAGAGCUCCAGCCAGCGGCAGAAGAAGAGCAGUGGGCAGUGGUGGAGGU